GAAAGCAUCUAAGCACGAAACUUGCCCCGAGAUGAGUUCUCCCUGACUCCUUGAGAGUCCUGAAGGAACGUUGAAGACGACGACGUUGAUAGGCCGGGUGUGUAAGCGCAGCGAUGCGUUGAGCUAACCGGUACUAAUGAACCGUGAGGCUUAACCUUACAACGCCGAAGCUGUU
rnacentral:rRNA from 1 species